UGUACAGUCACCUCUCUAAUAUUUGUUAAAUAAAUCAAUGAAUACAUAAGCAGACAAAUGCUGUCUUCCAUGACCUCCAACUCUGGAUUAGUUGUUCCUUCUGUGGGCUCUCAUAGCUUUUGGAACUUUGGCUUCAUAAAAUUUAUCUUACUGCAGUUGCUCAUUUACUCGCCAGCACCCUCAUUAGUCUGGUAAACUGCUUACCUUGUGCACCCCGUAUAUUUAGCACUAAACACAGUGCUAAUAACAUAGGAACUGAUUGAUAUUUAUCACACGAAUUCAGCUUUAAAAAGUCAUUUGGAUAAGAUGUAAUCUACCUAAUCAUCAGAAAAGCCCUCUUAAUUCAUUGGCAAUCAGUACAACUAUUUUUGUUGACUAAAGAAGAAACUGGGGGUGGGGGUAAGAUUAGUUCAAGUUGGAGUUAUUAUAUGGUUAAGGAGCUAUUAGCUCUGAGAAAACAUCAGAUUCUUGAAAAGGCCAAAUAAUAAUGGAAUGUCUUUGAAACCUAGGGUUGAGGUCAUCUGUGGCAUCAAAACAAAUUGGAGUAGCAAAAUGCUUAAGCACCCGUAGGGAGGCAUUUCUACAAGCAGAGAGCUCAAAAGAAGACUAGAAAAGUUCACUAAAGGUUUUCAAGAAGGCAGAUGCCUCACUCUGCUUUCUACCGCUGUGAUAAAACACCAUAACGAAAAGCAACUGUGGGAGAAAAUACUUUAUUUCAGCUUACAGUUGUAGUCCAUCAUGAAGUGUAGUCAGGGCAGGAGCUCAAUGCAGAAACCUGAAGGCUGGAACCGAAGCAGAGGCCAUGGAGGAAUGCUGCUCACUGAUUGCCCCUCACAGUUUGUUCAACCUGGUUUCUUAGAGAACCCAGGACCACCGUUAGAGAUGGCACUUUACCCUCCCACAUUAAUCAAGAAAAUACCCUACAGAUGUGCCGACAGGUAGUCCGAUGGAGGCAUUUUCUCAGCUGGUAAUUCCUUGUCCCUGUUAAUUGUGUCAAAUUGACAAAAUACUAACCUGGGUGAUUGGCCCCUUCUCAAUUUGGCACAUCAGCACAACUCUACUAGAUAGUAAUGUCUUCCUUUUUGUUUACCUCUAAGAUCCCAUAUUAGUAUCAAUAUAAUAAUGUAAACGUUGCAACUUUUAAAAGUCCUGCAUUAUUUAAAAAAAAAUUAAAACAUUUUAAAAGUUCAAUCUCUUUGUUGUGUUAGAUUUGCGGCUCGCAUCCAGACAGACCACACCAGGCCAGAACAGUUCCACAGGAGAGGUUUAUUGUGGGGAAAAAGGGCAAAAGAGGCGACAGAGAAGAAGGGGCAAAGAGAGAGGGAGGUCAGGAGGGUCUGCCUUUUAUUUGGGCCGUGACUUAACCGUUUGCAGGUAGAGGUGGACCAGGUGUAUGCUGGGAUUUCAUGGCGAUUGCCAAGGCAAGAGACGCGCGGGUCCCUGUCGCCUAUGGAUGACGUCACCGUGACCACUGGAUUCGGAGAUGACCGGCGGCGGUAAAGCUGGUUCCUGACCGUAAAGCCAGUUUUUGAUGCCAACAUUAUUAAUUGUGGAUGCCUGAAUAUCAAAAAGAAGUUAAACAUCGUAUUUCAAGAGGGAAGAAUCAAAGUCUAGUCACAAUCCAAUUAAAGUUAAACCAAGCUUCAGUGGUUUAAAUCAAAUCCUAUAGCUCUUCGGUCCCCAGCUCCGAAAAAAAGAACCAAAAAAAAAAAAAAAAAAAAAAAAAUCCUAUAGCUCGAUGUCUUGCACCUGAGGAUUCCGUAUGACGUUCUGGGCUCCGAAGAGCUUGGGCAGCUCUUUCUCUCAGGGUCUGCCAUUCACAGAACAUGCAGCUUCUCUUGUAACUUAGGCUAACACCGUUCUACACUUGCUGCUUUUCUUGGCAAUCGUCCCGUGGCCCUACCAUCUCCAGUAUGUUUGUGUCUGUACUCCACCGGAGCUGAACCUUCACUAAUAGCCUCUCCUGUGCCCUCUCCAGGGACUCUGAACAUGCCACUUGGUGCUAAACCUCAGACCAUCUCUCUGACUCUUUAAAUUCUGGGGUUGCUACUGUAGACCUUCACCAAUGCCCUCCCCGAGACCUCUCAGAGUGUCAAGCCUAUUCCAGGAUCCCUUCAUGCCUUCAAAAGCAGUGUCAUCUGAGAGACUUUUACACAGUACCAAAUCCACCUGACAGCAUGAGUUGCAGCCUUGGCCCUGUCUGGACCAGGCUUCUUUGUGCUGACCAGGAGAAAAUACUUCCAGAAAACUCCUCUUCAAUGACUGUGGUAUCUUCUUAAUCACACAACUGACUUAACCCCUGCUAACCUGAGUCAUUUGUUCCAGUGAAAGUUUCACUUCAAUGUUAUUGAUGCUGGACAGGAAGCAAAAUUGGUCAAGUUAAGCAUCUAGUGCGGACGGAUGGUGUAAAUACUUUAAUACUGGCUGCCAGAGUCACCUGGGAGGAGAAAACUUCCACUGAGAAACUGCCUAGAUCGCAUUGGCCUGAGGGAGUCUAAUGUCUUGAGUGACAACCUAUGACCUUGUGAAGAUCGUCACACCUUUGGAUUCUUGUAUGUGCUGCUGAAAGAAUUGAGUGGCCUGAGGCCAGAGUAAAACACACAGGGCUGCACACCAUUCUUAGAGCACUUAAAGCACAUGAAUCAAAUUAACCAAUUGCUCAAUAAAAUACCUCGUUGAAUGGA